GACGAACGCUGUCGGCGUGCUUAACACAUGCAAGUCGAACGGAAAGGCCCUGCUUUUGUGGGGUGCUCGAGUGGCGAACGGGUGAGUAACACGUGAGUAACCUGCCCUUGACUUUGGGAUAACUUCAGGAAACUGGGGCUAAUACCGGAUAGGAGCUCCUGCUGCAUGGUGGGGGUUGGAAAGUUUCGGCGGUUGGGGAUGGACUCGCGGCUUAUCGGCUUGUUGGUGGGGUAGUGGCUUACCAAGGCUUUGACGGGUAGCCGGCCUGAGAGGGUGACCGGCCACAUUGGGACUGAGAUACGGCCCAGACUCCUACGGGAGGCAGCAGUGGGGAAUAUUGCACAAUGGGCGGAAGCCUGAUGCAGCAACGCCGCGUGCGGGAUGACGGCCUUCGGGUUGUAAACCGCUUUCGCCUGUGACGAAGCGUGAGUGACGGUAAUGGGUAAAGAAGCACCGGCUAACUACGUGCCAGCAGCCGCGGUGAUACGUAGGGUGCGAGCGUUGUCCGGAUUUAUUGGGCGUAAAGGGCUCGUAGGUGGUUGAUCGCGUCGGAAGUGUAAUCUUGGGGCUUAACCCUGAGCGUGCUUUCGAUACGGGUUGACUUGAGGAAGGUAGGGGAGAAUGGAGUUCCUGGUGGAGCGGUGGAAUGCGCAGAUAUCAGGAGGAACACCAGUGGCGAAGGCGGUUCUCUGGGCCUUUCCUGACGCUGAGGAGCGAAAGCGUGGGGAGCGAACAGGCUUAGAUACCCUGGUAGUCCACGCUGUAAACGGUGGGUACUAGGUGUGGGGUCCAUUCCACGGGUUCCGUGCCGUAGCUAACGCUUUAAGUACCCCGCCUGGGGAGUACGGCCGCAAGGCUAAAACUCAAAGGAAUUGACGGGGCCCCGCACAAGCGGCGGAGCAUGCGGAUUAAUUCGAUGCAACGCGUAGAACCUUACCUGGGUUUGACAUGGAUCGGGAGUGCUCAGAGAUGGGUGUGCCUCUUUUGGGGUCGGUUCACAGGUGGUGCAUGCCUGUCGUCAGCUCGUGUCGUGAGAUGUUGGGUUAAGUCCCGCAACGAGCGCAACCCUUGUUCACUGUUGCCAGCACGUUAUGGUGGGGACUCAGUGGAGACCGCCGGGGUCAACUCGGAGGAAGGUGGGGAUGACGUCAAGUCAUCAUGCCCCUUAUGUCCAGGGCUUCACGCAUGCUACAAUGGCUGGUACAGAGAGUGGCGAGCCUGUGAGGGUGAGCGAAUCUCGGAAAGCCGGUCUCAGUUCGGAUUGGGGUCUGCAACUCGACCUCAUGAAGUCGGAGUCGCUAGUAAUCGCAGAUCAGCAACGCUGCGGUGAAUACGUUCCCGGG
rnacentral:rRNA from 1 species